AGAGUUUGAUCAUGGCUCAGGAUGAACGCUGGCGGUCUGCUUAACACAUGCAAGUCGAACGGACUCUUCGGAGUUAGUGGCGGACGGGUGAGUAACGCGUGAGAAUCUACCUUCAGGACGGAGACAACAGUUGGAAACGACUGCUAACCCCCGAUGAACCGAAAGGGCAAAUAUUUAUAGCCUGAAGAAGAGCUCGCGUCCGAUUAGCUAGUUGGAGAGGUAAAAGCUCACCAAGGCGACGAUCGGUAGCUGGUCUGAGAGGACGAUCAGCCACACUGGGACUGAGACACGGCCCAGACUCCUACGGGAGGCAGCAGUGGGGAAUUUUCCGCAAUGGGCGCAAGCCUGACGGAGCAAUACCGCGUGAGGGAGGAAGGCUCUUGGGUCGUAAACCUCUUUUCUCAGGGAAGAACAAAAUGACGGUACCUGAGAAUCAGCAUCGCCUCCGAC
rnacentral:rRNA from 1 species